UGGUGGAGUGAUUUGUCUGGUUAAUUCCGUUAACGAACGAGACCUCGACCUGCUAAAUAGUUUGGCGAAUCCUAGAUUCGUACAAAACUUCUUAGAGGGACUAUCGCUGUGUGGGCGAUGGAAGUUCGAGGCAAUAACA
rnacentral:rRNA from 1 species